AGCCUUCUGAAUCCGUGCCGAGAUUUCGCCACACACUAACCCAUUAGUGCUGAUCAGAGUUCCAAGAUAAGUAAAGUU
rnacentral:pre_miRNA from 1 species